rnacentral:rRNA from 1 species
AGCDAAAGGRAUUAGAUACCCCUGUAGUCCUGGCCGUAAACGAUGAACACUAGAUGUUGGGGGAAUCGACCCCCUCGGUGUCGUAACUAACGCGUUAAGUGUUCCGCCUGGGGAGUACGCACGCAAGUGUGAAACUCAAAGGAAUUGACGGGGGCCCGCACAAGCGGUGGAGUAUGUGGUUUAAUUCGAUGCAACGCGAAGAACCUUACCAAGGCUUGACAUCCUGCGAAUCUCCGAGAAAUUGGAGAGUGCUUCGGGAACGCAGUGACAGGUGGUGCAUCGCUGUCGUCAGCUCGUGUCGUGAGAUGUUGGGUUAAGUCCCGCAACGAGCGCAACCCACGUUUUUAGUUGCCAGCAUUCAGUUGGGCACUCUAGAAAGACUGCCGGUGACAAACCGGAGGAAGGUGUGGACGACGUCAAGUCAUCAUGCCCCUUACGCCUUGGGCUACACACGUACUACAAUGCUGCGGACAAAGAGUAGCGAUCUUGCGAAAGUUAGCUAAUCUCGUAAACCGUGGCUCAGUUCAGAUCGUAGGCUGCAACUCGCCUACGUGAAGGAGG